rnacentral:rRNA from 1 species
ACGGAGGAUGCGAGCGUUAUCCGGAUUUAUUGGGUUUAAAGGGUGCGUAGGCGGAGUAAUAAGUCAGUGGUGAAAUACUGCAGCUUAACUGUAGAAUUGCCGUUGAUACUGUUAGUCUUGAGUAUGGUCAAGGUAGGCGGAAUGUGUAAUGUAGAGGUGAAAUGCUUAGAUAUCACAAAGAACACCGAUUGCGUAGGCAGCUUACUGGGCGAUUACUGACGCUGAUGCGCGAAAGCGUGGGGAGCGAACAG